rnacentral:rRNA from 1 species
UACGGAGGUGGCAAGCGUUGCUCGGAAUCACUGGGCGUAAAGGGCGCGUAGGCGGGGAGGUAAGUCGGGUGUGAAAUCCCUCGGUCCAACCGAGGAACUGCGCCCGAGACUGCUUCUCUUGAGUCCCGGAGAGGAAGGUGGAAUUCCCGGUGUAGCGGUGAAAUGUGUAGAGAUCGGGAGGAACACCGGUGGCGAAGGCGGCCUUCUGGACGGUGACUGACGCUGAGGCGCGAAAGCGUGGGGAGCAAACGGG